UUUUGAGUUUUCCUUCUCUGACAGGUUUAUGCCUUACACAGGUCCCGGCUUUUGCAGGUUUUACAGUACUUGGAUGUAGUUGUUUCAUCUAUUGCACUUGGCUACAAUUGUCACGUUUCUUCUUUUGUGCUUUCUCUUCUAAGAUUCCUCCUGAAGUUAGGUUUCUAUGGCUUUCGUUGGAACUGUGGAGAGUUUAUUUCAUAGUGUGAUUCCAGAUGACCCAUUCAACACAAAGAAGUGCUUCCAGAAGAGGUAGAACCUGAUAGUCAAGAGGGAGGGCUGUGGAUCCAAAUCCUGAUACUACAUUGACCAACCACAUGAUUUGUGGCAACUUAUUGCUCUUCUCUAAGCUUGAAGUUCCUCAUCUGUUAAAUAUAGCGUGAUGAUGAAAUCUAAGUAAGGUAAUGCAUACAGGUGGUUUAGAAUAACACUAGGAAGAUUCUAUAAAGCUUAAUUGUUGUUAUUGUCAUCCAAAAAGUUAUACUGUUGAAAUUCAAAAGAUUUUACUUGUGGGAAAUCUCUAAGUCCUAAGGUUAUUUGGAGUAGGCUGUGAGCUAUCUGUGUAAUAACCCCACUAUGAACCAUUCUUUGGUAAAAUCGCUGAAAUUAAUAACUAAUUACACUGGCUAGAUAUCCAUUUAAUUGCCUUCACCAUCUAUGACCAUCUUGGAGUAGGUAGGGAAAAUGAAAAAGAUUUCAGGUUAAUAGAAUUUUGAGUAAGUAUGUAUAAUGCAACUGUGGAUAGCUACUUCAACACAUUUAUUAAGUGUAUAUGGGCUAGGGGUACAAGUGAGGCGUAGAAUAUUUGAAAUAAUAGUAGUGCUAAAGUUUAAUGUCUUAAUAUCCUCUAUUGAAUAUGUAUCCCCAGGAGGAGACAGAAAAGAGCUCUAUGUCAAGGGUCUUGGGAUACACGAAAUAAGACAGCCACCAACUACAGAAGUCCCACCUCAACCAAUCAACCCUUGGAUGGUGCAAGAGAGGAUAUUUAUGUCAACUACCCAGCCUUCCCUCGUAAACCAAAGAUUAGAGCCUAAGCUUUUCCUUGAUCUGAGAAAAUUAACAAUGACUAUUAUGAACAUAAGAUCUUCGGACAAUCUCUUCUGUUACCCAGGGUCUACCUUAGAUAUAGGUUGACUGAAUUUAUUUCAUUUGAUAGGGAAAAUGUUGCGUUACCUAGAAAACAUUUUUAAUAGAAAUGUUUCAGAAAACCUGACUCUAAUUAACUUAUAAAUAAGAGGGAACUUACUGAAUGAUGUAAUGGAACCACCUAGGAGCAGAUCUAGCUUCAGGCAAGGCUUAUUUACUAGAGCUUAAAUGCUGUGUCUAGAAUUCAGUAUGAGCAUAAGCUGGUUUCUGAAUCCACUUCUUUGUGUUGGUCUUACUCUCAGUAUACUCUACCUUUGUGUUUGUGUUUCCAAGAUGGGUGCUGAUAACUUAUGGCGAUCCAUACAUCCUCGUUUCUAUCUGCUAGAAAGUUUGUUUCUCUGACAGAACAAACAAAUUGGGUUAUUUAUCCAUCAUUAAACCAGCAUCAUGAC